UACGGAGGGUGCAAGCGUUAUCCGGAUUCACUGGGUUUAAAGGGUGCGUAGGAGGACUGGUAAGUCAGUGGUGAAAUCCCCGAGCUUAACUUGGGAACUGCCGUUGAUACUAUCAGUCUUGAAUACCGUGGAGGUGAGCGGAAUAUGUCAUGUAGCGGUGAAAUGCUUAGAUAUGACAUAGAACACCAAUAGCGAAGGCAGCUCGCUACACGAAUAUUGACUCUGAGGCACGAAAGCGUGGGGAUCAAACAGG
rnacentral:rRNA from 1 species